rnacentral:rRNA from 1 species
CCAGACUCCUACGGGAGGCAGCAGUGGGGAAUAUUGCACAAUGGGGGAAACCCUGAUGCAGCGACGCCGCGUGAGCGAUGAAGUAUUUCGGUAUGUAAAGCUCUAUCAGCAGGGAAGAAAAUGACGGUACCUGACUAAGAAGCCCCGGCUAACUACGUGCCAGCAGCCGCGGUAAUACGUAGGGGGCAAGCGUUAUCCGGAUUUACUGGGUGUAAAGGGAGCGUAGACGGUUCUGCAAGCCAGAUGUGAAAGCCCGGGGCUCAACCCCGGGACUGCAUUUGGAACUGUAAGGCUAGAGUGUCGGAGAGGCAGGCGGAAUUCCUAGUGUAGCGGUGAAAUGCGUAGAUAUCAGGAGGAACACCGGCGGCGAAGGCGGCCUGCUGGACCGUGACUGACGUUGAGGCUCGAGAGCGUGGGGAGCAAACAGGAUUAGAUACCCGGGUACC